rfam:Picea glauca, whole genome shotgun sequence.
AUGUACAUUCCUACAAUGUAGCAUUAAUGCUUCAGAUCCCAUUAGAAAUCCGUAGUUAAGCACACUUGGGCUAGAGUAGUACUGGGGUGGGUGACCGCCCCGGAAGUCCUAUUGUUUUACAUG